rnacentral:rRNA from 1 species
AGAUUGAACGCUGGCGGCAGGCCUAACACAUGCAAGUCGAGCGGUAACAGGUCCAGCUUGCUGGAUGCUGACGAGCGGCGGACGGGUGAGUAAUGCAUAGGAAUCUGCCCGGUAGUGGGGGAUAACCUGGGGAAACUCAGGCUAAUACCGCAUACGUCCUACGGGAGAAAGCAGGGGAUCUUCGGACCUUGCGCUAUCGGAUGAGCCUAUGCCGGAUUAGCUAGUUGGUGAGGUAAUGGCCCACCAAGGCGACGAUCCGUAGCUGGUCUGAGAGGAUGAUCAGCCACAUCGGGACUGAGACACGGCCCGAACUCCUACGGGAGGCAGCAGUGGGGAAUAUUGGACAAUGGGCGCAAGCCUGAUCCAGCCAUGCCGCGUGUGUGAAGAAGGCCUUCGGGUUGUAAAGCACUUUCAGUGGGGAAGAAAGCCUGGGACCUAAUACGUCCGAGGAAGGACAUCACCCACAGAAGAAGCACCGGCUAACUCCGUGCCAGCAGCCGCGGU